CUGCUGACCAACGGUCAGCGGAGUCUCCGGGAGCACGGAAGGACUUUCCAUCCAGGGCCUCUCCACGGCUCCCGGGGGCGUGAGGACCAACUUUACCUGCCGAUUCACCUGGAGGCGAUGGGAUCGCCACGGCAGUCGGCAAACACCAGGCCUGGGCUUCCAGACGCUGCCUGUAAAGAAAGGAAGGCGUCUUGAGACAUGAAGUCACGAUUCCAGAUGAGAAAAAACAGACUGACAGCCUGGAAAGUCACUUUUGAGCACAAAGCAAGGCAACGCCCCAAGAUUAAAGGGAUUGCCGAGCCGUCAUCCUGGAGCCCCUGGCGAAUCUGAACAUAAAAAGAUUCAAAUUCAUAGAUUAAUAAAAAUCCAUGAAUCCACAGCAA